rnacentral:rRNA from 1 species
CCUACGGGUGGCAGCAGUGUGGAAUAUUGGUCAAUGGGCGCGAGCCUGAACCAGCCAAGUAGCGUGAAGGAUGACUGCCCUACGGGUUGUAAACUUCGUUUAUAAAGGAAUAAAGUGAGGCUCGGGUGCCUUUUUGUAUGUACUUUAUGAAUAAGGAUCGGCUAACUCCGUGCCAGCAGCCGCGGUAAUUCGGAGGAUCCGAGCGGUAUCCGGUAUUAUUUGGUUUAAAGGGAGCGUAGAUGGGUUGUUAAGUCAGUUGUGAAAGUUUGCGGCUCAACCGUAAAAUUGCAAUUGAUACUGGCAGCCUUGAGUACAGUUGAGGUAGGCGGAAUUCGUGGUGUAGCGGUGAAAUGCUUAGAUAUCACGAAGAACUCCGAUUGCGAAGGCAGCUUACUAAGCUGACACUGACAUUGAUGCACGAAAGUGUGGGUAUCAAACGGGAUUAGAUACCCGAGUAGUC